rnacentral:rRNA from 1 species
UACAGAGGGUGCGAGCGUUAAUCGGAAUUACUGGGCGUAAAGGGCGCGUAGGCGGUUAGUUAAGUUAGAUGUGAAAUCCCUGGGCUUAACCUAGGAACUGCAUCUGAAACUGGCUAGCUGGAGUGCUGUAGAGGGUAGUGGAAUUUCCGGUGUAGCGGUGAAAUGCGUAGAUAUCGGAAGGAACACCAGUGGCGAAGGCGGCUACCUGGACAGACACUGACGCUGAGGCGCGAGAGCGUGGGGAGCAAACAGG